rnacentral:rRNA from 1 species
GACGAACGCUGGCGGCGUGCUUAACACAUGCAAGUCGAACGGUAAGGCCCUUCGGGGUACACGAGUGGCGAACGGGUGAGUAACACGUGGGUGAUCUGCCCUGCACUUCGGGAUAAGCCUGGGAAACUGGGUCUAAUACCGGAUAGGACCCUGGGAUGCAUGUCCUGGGGUGGAAAGCUUUUGCGGGGUGGGAUGGGCCCGCGGCCGAUCAGCUUGUUGGUGGGGUGAUGGCCUACCAAGGCGACGACGGGUAGCCGGCCUGAGAGGGUGACCGGCCACACUGGGACUGAGAUACGGCCCAGACUCCUACGGGAGGCAGCAGUGGGGAAUAUUGCACAAUGGGCGCAAGCCUGAUGCAGCGACGCCGCGUGAGGGAUGACGGCCUUCGGGUUGUAAACCUCUUUCAGCACCGACGAAGCGCAAGUGACGGUAGGUGCAGAAGAAGGACCGGCCAACUACGUGCCAGCAGCCGCAGUAA